rnacentral:rRNA from 1 species
AGGUCAAGCGAAGCUUUUCAGUAGUUCACUACAGAAAAUGACUGAGCGGCGAACGGGUGAGUAACGCGUGAGCAAUCUACCUUAGUUACAGGGAUAGCCCCGAGGAAACUCGGAUUAAUACCUGAUAUUCUUUAUUUCUCGCAUGAGAAUAAAAGGAAAGGUCAGCCGAACUAAGAUGAGCUCGCGUUCUAUCAGCUAGUUGGUGAGGUAAAAGCUUACCAAGGCUACGACGGAUAGCUGGUCUGAGAGGACGAUCAGCCACACUGGGACUGAGACACGGCCCAGACUCCUACGGGAGGCUGCAGCAGGGAAUAUUGUGCAAUGAACGAAAGUUUGACACAGCGACACCGCGUGUGGGAUGACGGAUCUAGGUUUGUAAACCACUUUCAGGAGGGAAGAAAAAUGACGGUACCUCCACAAGAAGCCCCGGCCAACUACGUGCCAGCAGCCGCGGUAAUACGUAAGGGGCGAGCGUCUGUCCGGAUUUAUUGGGCGUAAACGAGCUCGUAGCGCGGUUUCAACAAGUCGGUCGUGAAACGUUCAGGGCUCAACCCUGAAAUGUCCGAUCGAUACUGUUGUGACUAGGAUACGGUAGAGGUCGACGUGGAAUUCCGAAGUGUAGACGGUGAAAUGCGUAGAUAUUCGGAGGAAC